rnacentral:tRNA from 20 species
GGAGCGGUAGUUCAGUUGGUUAGAAUACCGGCCUGUCACGCCGGUGGUCGCGGGUUCGAGUCCCGUCCGCUCCGCCA